CACGAAGCAGCCAGCAAAGUGCAGAGGCCACAGGAAACGCUAAGCCAGAUGAACAGAUCAUCAGGUGAAUCAACAAGGACUUCCGGAGAAGCUAAUGCAAGGAUGGAUGUUCUGGCACCCUCCUCUUCCUUAACUCCCCUCCCAUCUCCUAGAAGCCACCUGCAUUCCUGGGCUAGUGGCCCUUCUUCCACCCUCAGAGUGCACACUGCAGCACCUGGUUCCAUCACCAUAUCUCCUUGUUGCUCUGACACCCAUUUCCUCUUAUAAGGACCCUUGUGAUUACACAGGGCACACUCAGGUAAUCCAGAAUAAUCUCCCCCAUCUUUGCUUAAUCGCUCUGCAAAGUCUCUUCUGCUAUUGAACAUAGUCAGAGGAUCCAGGUGAUUAGGUGGUGAACCUAUGGAGGGAGUCCCUGUUUAGAUUACCUGAUGGAGGGAGAUCUAAUUGUAAAUAAAUCUGGCAAAUAUGGACUCCAAUGCAAUAAAUUAAACAGCUCCUGAAGACCCAGUCUUUUUGGGCAUCAUGCCCAGUCAGACUUCUUGCCUUCCUCCUGCUCAUCUUCAAGAUGAGAAGAAAAUACAUCUCCAUGAUCAUGGUGACAUGGGCAAGCCCAACGCAGAUGACUUUAUUCUGGAUUCUGGCUUCCAUUUACUGCAAAGUGGCUAAUCCGGGCUGCUGCGUGGCCUGGUGACAAUGGGAUCCAGACAGGCUAGAUCUCCAAGCCUGGAUUGUCCCUGAGCAUCUGCAGCUGCCGUCCACAGCUUGUGGUCAAGGCUGGGGGUGCUGCAGCCAGCUCUGGGUCUCAUCCUCCACCCGGUUCCUGAUCGAGGACAUUAACUCAACUACCCUCUGAGUCUUCCCUUCAGGUAAUUCAAGAGCAUCUGGCUCCUUCUGCCAUUCACAGACAACUGUGAAUGCACCUGGGGCUUGGCUCCACCUGACCUCACCAUUCCUUCUCUGCUGUGGCCAUGCAUGCCCCCCUUCCAGGCUGGCUUGAGGUUACUCCACACAGCAACCCCUGCCCAGCACCCCAAAAAGGGAAUGGCUCUGCCUUUGGUGUUUCCAUCUGUCUCUGCCCUCAGGACUCAGGUCCACCUGUCUAAUUUUGGUAUCAAAUCUCUCCUUUCCUGAAGCACUCACUACUCCACCCAUCCAGAGAUAGAGUCCAUUUCCCUACCCUUGAAUCUGGAUCCAGUCUGUGACUUCUUUUGACCAGCACAAUAUGGUGGAAGUAAAUGCUGGGACCUCCAGGCUUUGUUUUGUUGUUGCUGUUGUUGUUGUUGUUAUUGUUUGUUCAUUUGUUUGUUUUUGCAGUGCUGGGGAUCAAACUCAGGGCUUUGCACAUGCUAGACAAGUGCUCGACCACUGAGCCACAUCUCACACAAGCUUAGCUUUAAGAGGCCCAGAAGCUUCUGUUUUCUCUCUUGGAAGCCAGCGACCGAAGAAAACUCAACUCCAUGAGGCCACCAUUUUAACAGGGAGCCCACACUCUCCGGGUAGAGAGGCCAUGUGGAGAAGCACCGAGGUCCAGACAUGUGAGAGGAGAAGACUACUUGGACCUUCCCACCAAACCCACUAUCAGCUGAAAACCAGGAAGAGUAAGGCAGUCAACUCAUAAGAAACAAUAAACUGUUAUCAUUUGAA